rnacentral:lncRNA from 1 species
GCCCUUUUUUAGGGCUGCAUCCAGCCCUAGUGCAGAGCUUAGGCUUUCAUGCAGUAGUGGACGGAAGCAGCAGCACAGCAGCGGGCUCCGAUCAUGGCUAUCUCCUUCUUUUCUCUGUCUUCUCCCUGCAUUUUUACUUCGGUGGGAACUCCUGAGAAGAGAUUGGAUAAGAAGGCUGGCAUGAUGACAGAGGGAGCUCUGGCUAAUCCCUUUCUUCCAUGGGAGAAGGUGGCGUGAGAGAGGAGAAGAUGGCGUAACGCUAAUGAAAGAAGGCCCUGGCUAAUCCUUCGAUGCCUCUCCAUGCAGUGGCAGAUAGCCUUUUAUAGCCCGCUCUUCCUCAUGGCUUUAUCCAAGUCUUCUACCAGUGGAUAACUUCAAAUCAAGGGCCUGAGAGGAAUCUGGAAGGGCUUCAACGUGGAGGGCUCUAUUCGUGGAUACGGGAGAUCCCUUGUGGUUGGCUGGCGUCAAUCCGGAAUGGCGAGAUGUAUUCGUUGAAUAGCUGGGAUUCGGGUUAUCUCGUGGAUAAGCUGAUGCUCUGUUCUUUGGAUACUUGC